rnacentral:rRNA from 2 species
GGGUUGUGAGGUUAAGCGACUAAGCGUACACGGUGGAUGCCCUGGCAGUCAGAGGCGAUGAAGGACGUGCUAAUCUGCGAAAAGCGCCGGCGAGGUGAUAUGAACCCUUGACCCGGCGAUGUCCGAAUGGGGAAACCCAGUGUGUUCCGACACACUAUCGUUAACUGAAUACAUAGGUUAACGAGGCGAACCGGGGGAACUGAAACAUCUAAGUACCCCGAGGAAAAGAAAUCAACCGAGAUUCCCCCAGUAGCGGCGAGCGAACGGGGAGCAGCCCGGAGUCUGAAUCAGCUUGUGUGUUAGUGGAACGGUCUGGAAAGUCCGACGGUACAGGGUGAUAGUCCCGUACACGAAAAUGCACAGGUUGUGAACUCGAAGAGUAGGGCGGGACACGUGGUAUCCUGUCUGAAUAUGGGGGGACCAUCCUCCAAGGCUAAAUACUCCUGACUGACCGAUAGUGAACCAGUACCGUGAGGGAAAGGCGAAAAGAACCCCGGCGAGGGGAGUGAAAAAGAACCUGAAACCGUGUACGUACAAGCAGUGGGAGCACCUUCGGGUGUGACUGCGUACCUUUUGUAUAAUGGGUCAGCGACUUAUAUUCUGUAGCAAGGUUAACCGUAUAGGGGAGCCGAAGGGAAACCGAGUCUUAACUGGGCGUUAAGUUGCAGGGUAUAGACCCGAAACCCGGUGAUCUAGCCAUGGGCAGGUUGAAGGUUGGGUAACACUAACUGGAGGACCGAACCGACUAAUGUUGAAAAAUUAGCGGAUGACCUGUGGCUGGGGGUGAAAGGCCAAUCAAACCGGGAGAUAGCUGGUUCUCCCCGAAAGCUAUUUAGGUAGCGCCUCGUGAACUCAUCUUCGGGGGUAGAGCACUGUUUCGGCUAGGGGGCCAUCCCGGCUUACCAACCCGAUGCAAACUACGAAUACCGAAGAAUGUUAUCACGGGAGACACACGGCGGGUGCUAACGUCCGUCGUGAAGAGGGAAACAACCCAGACCGCCAGCUAAGGUCCCAAAGUCAUGGUUAAGUGGGAAACGAUGUGGGAAGGCACAGACAGCCAGGAUGUUGGCUUAGAAGCAGCCAUCAUUUAAAGAAAGCGUAAUAGCUCACUGGUCGAGUCGGCCUGCGCGGAAGAUGUAACGGGGCUAAACCAUGCACCGAAGCUGCGGCAGCGACACUAUGUGUUGUUGGGUAGGGGAGCGUUCUGUAAGCCGUUGAAGGUGUGCUGUGAGGCAUGCUGGAGGUAUCAGAAGUGCGAAUGCUGACAUAAGUAACGAUAAAGCGGGUGAAAAGCCCGCUCGCCGGAAGACCAAGGGUUCCUGUCCAACGUUAAUCGGGGCAGGGUGAGUCGACCCCUAAGGCGAGGCCGAAAGGCGUAGUCGAUGGGAAACAGGUUAAUAUUCCUGUACUUGGUGUUACUGCGAAGGGGGGACGGAGAAGGCUAUGUCAGCCGGGCGACGGUUGUCCCGGUUUAAGCAUGUAGGCGGAGGUUCCAGGUAAAUCCGGUACCUUUUAACGCUGAGGUGUGAUGACGAGGCACUACGGUGCUGAAGUGAUAAAUGCCCUGCUUCCAGGAAAAGCCUCUAAGCAUCAGGUAACACGAAAUCGUACCCCAAACCGACACAGGUGGUCAGGUAGAGAAUACCAAGGCGCUUGAGAGAACUCGGGUGAAGGAACUAGGCAAAAUGGUGCCGUAACUUCGGGAGAAGGCACGCUGAUAUGUAGGUGAAGUCCCUGCGGACGGAGCUGAAAUCAGUCGAAGAUACCAGCUGGCUGCAACUGUUUAUUAAAAACACAGCACUGUGCAAACACGAAAGUGGACGUAUACGGUGUGACGCCUGCCCGGUGCCGGAAGGUUAAUUGAUGGGGUUAGCGGCAACGCGAAGCUCUUGAUCGAAGCCCCGGUAAACGGCGGCCGUAACUAUAACGGUCCUAAGGUAGCGAAAUUCCUUGUCGGGUAAGUUCCGACCUGCACGAAUGGCGUAAUGAUGGCCAGGCUGUCUCCACCCGAGACUCAGUGAAAUUGAACUCGCUGUGAAGAUGCAGUGUACCCGCGGCAAGACGGAAAGACCCCGUGAACCUUUACUAUAGCUUGACACUGAACACUGGUCCUUGAUGUGUAGGAUAGGUGGGAGGCUUUGAAGCGUGGACGCCAGUCUGCGUGGAGCCGUCCUUGAAAUACCACCCUUUAAUGGCUGGUGUUCUAACGUAGACCCGUGAUCCGGGUUGCGGACAGUGUCUGGUGGGUAGUUUGACUGGGGCGGUCUCCUCCCAAAGAGUAACGGAGGAGCACGAAGGUUGGCUAAUCCUGGUCGGACAUCAGGAGGUUAGUGCAAUGGCAUAAGCCAGCUUGACUGCGAGCGUGACGGCGCGAGCAGGUGCGAAAGCAGGUCAUAGUGAUCCGGUGGUUCUGAAUGGAAGGGCCAUCGCUCAACGGAUAAAAGGUACUCCGGGGAUAACAGGCUGAUACCGCCCAAGAGUUCAUAUCGACGGCGGUGUUUGGCACCUCGAUGUCGGCUCAUCACAUCCUGGGGCUGAAGUAGGUCCCAAGGGUAUGGCUGUUCGCCAUUUAAAGUGGUACGCGAGCUGGGUUUAGAACGUCGUGAGACAGUUCGGUCCCUAUCUGCCGUGGGCGCUGGAGAAUUGAGGGGGGCUGCUCCUAGUACGAGAGGACCGGAGUGGACGCAUCACUGGUGUUCGGGUUGUCAUGCCAAUGGCACUGCCCGGUAGCUAAAUGCGGAAGAGAUAAGUGCUGAAAGCAUCUAAGCACGAAACUUGCCCCGAGAUGAGUUCUCCCUGAGACUUUAAGUCUCCUGAAGGAACGUUGAAGACGACGACGUUGAUAGGUCGGGUGUGUAAGCGCAGCGAUGCGUUGAGCUAACCGAUACUAAUGAACCGUGAGGCUUAACCUUACAACGCCGAAGCUGUU